rnacentral:rRNA from 1 species
UACAGAGGUCUCAAGCGUUGUUCGGAUUCAUUGGGCGUAAAGGGUGUGUAGGUGGCGCGCUAAGUCGGGUGUGAAAUUUCGGAGCUUAACUCCGAAACUGCACUCGAUACUGGCGUGCUUGAGGACUGGAGAGGAGACUGGAAUUCAUGGUGUAGCAGUGAAAUGCGUAGAGAUCAUGAGGAAGACCAGUGGCGAAGGCGGGUCUCUGGACAGUUCCUGACACUGAGACACGAAGGCCAGGGGUGCAAACGGG